rnacentral:rRNA from 1 species
UGUGAGCUCGAUGAGUAGGGCGGGACACGUGAUAUCCUGUCUGAAGAUGGGGGGACCAUCCUCCAAGGCUAAAUACUCCUGACUGACCGAUAGUGAACCAGUACCGUGAGGGAAAGGCGAAAAGAACCCCGGCGAGGGGAGUGAAACAGAACCUGAAACCGUGUACGUACAAGCAGUGGGAGCCUUCGUAAGAGGGUGACUGCGUACCUUUUGUAUAAUGGGUCAGCGACUUAUAUUCUGUAGCAAGGUUAACCGUAUAGGGGAGCCGAAGGGAAACCGAGUCUUAAUUGGGCGUUAAGUUGCAGGGUAUAGACCCGAAACCCGGUGAUCUAGCCAUGGGCAGGUUGAAGGUUGGGUAACACUAACUGGAGGACCGAACCGACUAAUGUUGAAAAAUUAGCGGAUGACCUGUGGCUGGGGGUGAAAGGCCAAUCAAACCGGGAGAUAGCUGGUUCUCCCCGAAAGCUAUUUAGGUAGCGCCUCGUGAACUCAUCUCCGGGGGUAGAGCACUGUUUCGGCUAGGGGGCCAUCCCGGCUUACCAACCCGAUGCAAACUGCGAAUACCGGAGAAUGUUAUCACGGGAGACACACGGCGGGUGCUAACGUCCGUCGUGAAGAGGGAAACAACCCAGACCGCCAGCUAAGGUCCCAAAGUCAUGGUUAAGUGGGAAACGAUGUGGGAAGGCCCAGACAGCCAGGAUGUUGGCUUAGAAGCAGCCAUCAUUUAAAGAAAGCGUAAUAGCUCACUGGUCGAGUCGGCCUGCGCGGAAGAUGUAACGGGGCUAAACCAUGCACCGAAGCUGCGGCAGCGACACUAUGUGUUGUUGGGUAGGGGAGCGUUCUGUAAGCCUGCGAAGGUGUGCUGUGAGGCAUGCUGGAGGUAUCAGAAGUGCGAAUGCUGACAUAAGUAACGAUAAAGCGGGUGAAAAGCCCGCUCGCCGGAAGACCAAGGGUUCCUGUCCAACGUUAAUCGGGGCAGGGUGAGUCGACCCCUAAGGCGAGGCCGAAAGGCGUAGUCGAUGGGAAACAGGUUAAUAUUCCUGUACUUGGUGUUACUGCGAAGGGGGGACGGAGAAGGCUAUGUCGGCCGGGCGACGGUUGUCCCGGUUUAAGCGUGUAGGCUGACUUUCCAGGCAAAUCCGGAA